AACGAUGGCCACACUGUCUCCACCCGAGACUCAGUGAAAUUGAAUUUGCGGUCAAGAUGCCGUAUACCCGCGGCUAGACGGAAAGACCCCGUGAACCUUUACUAUAGCUUUGCACUGGACUUUGAAUUUGCUUGUGUAGGAUAGGUGGGAGGCUUUGAAACCAGGAUUCCGGUCCCGGUGGAGCCGUCCUUGAAAUACCACCCUGUAUACCAUUUUGACCUAACUUGGACCCAUGAAUCUGGGCCGAAGACAGUGUUUGCUGGGCAGUUUGACUGGGGCGGUCUCCUCCUAAAGAGUAACGGAGGAGCGCGAAGGUACUCUAAAUACGGUCGGAAAUCGUAUGGUUAGUGUAAAGGCAAAAGAGUGCUUGACUGCGAGACGGACAUGUCGAGCAGGUACGAAAGUAGGUCUUAGUGAUCCGGUGGUUCUGUAUGGAAGGGCCAUCGCUCAACGGAUAAAAGGUACUCCGGGGAUAA
rnacentral:rRNA from 1 species